GAUACCCUGGUAGUCCACACUGUAAACGAUGGAUACUAGGUGUAGGGGGUAUUAAGCCUUCUGUGCCGUCGCAAACGCAGUAAGUAUCCCACCUGGGGAGUACGACCGCAAGGUUGAAACUCAAAGGAAUUGACGGGGGCCCGCACAAGCAGCGGAGCAUGUGGUUUAAUUCGAAGCAACGCGAAGAACCUUACCAGGUCUUGACAUCCAGUGCAAACCUAAGAGAUUAGGUGUUCCCUUCGGGGACGCUGAGACAGGUGGUGCAUGGCUGUCGUCAGCUCGUGUCGUGAGAUGUUGGGUUAAGUCCCGCAACGAGCGCAACCCUUGUCAUUAGUUGCCAUCAUUAAGUUGGGCACUCUAAUGAGACUGCCGGUGACAAACCGGGGGAAGGUGGGGGAUGACGUCAAGUCAUCAUGCCCCUUAUGACCUGGGCUACACACGUGCUACAAUGGACGGUACAACGAGAAGCGAACCUGCGAAGCAAGCGGAUCUCUUAAAGCCGUUCUUCAGUCGGACUGUAGGCUGCAACUCGCCUACACGAAGCUGGAAUCGCUAGUAAUCGCGGAUCAGCACGCCGCGGUGAAUACGUUCCCGGGCCUUGUACACACCGCCCGUCACACCAUGAGAGUCUGUAACACCCAAAGCCGGUGGGAUAACCUUUAUAGGAGUCAGCCGUCUAAGGUAGGACAGAUGAUUAGGGUGAAGUCGUAACAAGGUAAC
rnacentral:rRNA from 1 species